AGUGGAAUUGCUGGAUCAUAUGGUAAUUCUGUUUUUAAUUUUUUGAGGAUUUUCCAUUCUGUUUUUCAUAGUGGCUGCACCAUUUUCCAUUUCAUCAGCAAU
rnacentral:pre_miRNA from 1 species